rnacentral:rRNA from 1 species
CCCUUAGAUGUCCUGGGCCGCACGCGCGUUACACUGAUGCAUUCAACGAGCUUAUAACCUUGGCCGAGAGGCCUGGGCAAUCUUGUUAACGUGCAUCGUGAUAGGGAUAGAUUAUUGAAAUUAUUAAUCUUGAACGAGGAAUUCCUAGUAAACGCAGAUCAUCAAUCUGCAUUGAUUACGUCCCUGCCCUUUGUACACACCGCCCGUCGCUGCCCGGAACUGAGCCGUUUCGAGAAGACUGAGGAUUGCUGACUUGAGGCCUUCACGGGCUUCUAGUCGGUGAAAAUCAAUUUAAUCGCAGCGGCUUGAACCGGGCAAAAGUCGUAACA